rnacentral:lncRNA from 1 species
AGGGUGAAUAGGGAAAGAUUUUAAACCUUUUAUUUCAUGUGCCUUCCUACCAAUGUAAUGUUCAGACUAGUCAGUUGUUUGUUUGGGGGUAGAACUAUUCCAAAUUUUCUGAAAAAUCUCCAAAUUGAUUUCCAAAGUGGGUAUACAAGUUUGCACUUCCACCAGCAAUGAAGGGAUGCCCCCCUUGUUCCACAUUCCCUCCAGCAUGUGUUAUCAUUUGAGUUUUUGAUCUUAGCCAUGGCAAUGGGUAUAAGAUGGAAGCUCAGGGUUGUUUUGAUUUGCAUUUCCCUGAUGUCUAAGGUCUUUGAACAUUUUAUUCAAGUACUUCUUGGCCAUUUGAGAUUCCUCUGUUGAGAAUUCUCUUGUUACCUCUGUACUCCAUUUUAAAUUGAGUUAUUUGAGUUGUUGGUGUUUAACUUCUUGAGUUCUUUGUAAAUUUUGGAUAUUAGCCCUCUGUCAGUUGUAGGGUUGAUGAAGAUCCUUUCCCAAUCUGAAGGCUGCCAUUUUGUACUUUUGAAAGUGGCCUUUGCUUACAGAAGCUUUGCAGUUUCAUGAGGCCCCAUUUAUCAUUUGUUGAUCUUAGAGCCUGAGUGAGCCAUUGGCAGUCUGUUCAGGAAAUUGUCUCUUGUACCAAUCUAUUCAAGACUAUUUCCUACUUUCUCUUCUAUGAAAUUCACAGCAUUGGUGAUAUGGAACUUGAAGAGGCCACCUCCUGGAGUCAAGCAGAAACCCCGGUGGAGUGAUAGGGAAACAUAUCCAUCAACAAAACUUUUGACCCCAAAUUUAUCCUGUCUAUAAGAAAUGCAGAGGUGGGGGAUGGAGCAGAGACUGAAGCAAUAAGCAGCCCAACUUGAGACCUAUUCCAUGGGAAAGCACCAAUCCCUAAACACUAUUAAUGGUACUCUGUUAUGCUUACAGACAGGAGUCUAGCAUGGCUAUCAUCUGAAAGGUUUCAACUAGCAUCUGACUCAGACAGAUGUAGACUCCCAUAGCCAAACAGUGGAUGGAGCUUGGGGACUCUUAUGGAAAAACAGGAAGUAGUAUUGCUGUCUCUAAAGGAAUAAGAAUUCCACGGAAAGACCAACAGAGUCAACUAACCUGGACCCUUUGGAUUCUCAGAGACUGAACCACCAACCAAAGAACAUACACUGGCUGGAUAUAGUCCUCCCUGCACUUACAUAGCAGAUGAACAGCUUGGUCUUCAUGUGGAUCCUGAACAACUGAAGCAGGGGCCAUCCCAAUAGCUGUUGCCUGCAUAUGGCAUAUGUUCUUUUAGCUGGGCUGCCUUG